rnacentral:rRNA from 1 species
CUUGGCUCUCGCAUCGAUGAAGAACGCAGCGAAAUGCGAUAAGUAAUGUGAAUUGCAGAAUUCAGUGAAUCAUCGAAUCUUUGAACGCACCUUGCGCUCCUUGGUAUUCCGAGGAGCAUGCCUGUUUGAGUGUCAUGAAAAUAUCAACCAAGACUUGGGUUUUUGCUCUUGUUCUUGGCUUGGAAUUGGGUGCUUGCAAACCUCACGGUUGGCUCACCUUAAAAGAAUUAGCUGGAUCUGUUCUGAGAAUUGGUUUGACUUGGCGUAAUAAGUAUUUCGCUAAGGACAUCUUCGGAUGGCCAAUACUCUGACAAUUGUCCGCUUUCUAAUCCUGUUUCCUUUGGAGACUAUACUUUUAUGAUCUGGCCUCAAAUCUGGUAGGACUACCCGCUGAACUUAAGC